rnacentral:rRNA from 1 species
AUUGAACGCUGGCGGCAUGCUUUACACAUGCAAGUCGAACGGCAGCGCGGGCUUCGGCCUGGCGGCGAGUGGCGAACGGGUGAGUAAUGCAUCGGAACGUGCCCAGUAGUGGGGGAUAGCCCGGCGAAAGCCGGAUUAAUACCGCAUACGACCUGAGGGUGAAAGCGGGGGACUGAAAGGCCUCGCGCUAUUGGAGCGGCCGAUGUCGGAUUAGCUAGUGGUGGGGUAAAGGCUUACCAAGGCGACGAUCCGUAGCUGGUCUGAGAGGACGACCAGCCACACUGGGACUGAGACACGGCCCAGACUCCUACGGGAGGCAGCAGUGGGGAAUUUUGGACAAUGGGGGCAACCCUGAUCCAGCCAUGCCGCGUGCGGGAAGAAGGCCUUCGGGUUGUAAACCGCUUUUGUUCGGGAAGAAAUCCUCUGGGCUAAUACCCCGGGGGGAUGACGGUACCGGAAGAAUAAGCACCGGCUAACUACGUG